AGGAAAUAGGAGUGGCACCGUGG
rnacentral:siRNA from 1 species